GACGAACGCUGGCGGCGCGCCUAACACAUGCAAGUCGAACGAGAGAUGAGGAGCUUGCUCUUCAAAUCGAGUGGCGAACGGGUGAGUAACGCGUGAGGAACCUGCCUCAAAGAGGGGGACAACAGUUGGAAACGACUGCUAAUACCGCAUAAGCCCACGGCUCGGCAUCGAGCAGAGGGAAAAGGAGUGAUCCGCUUUGAGAUGGCCUCGCGUCCGAUUAGCUAGUUGGUGAGGUAACGGCCCACCAAGGCGACGAUCGGUAGCCGGACUGAGAGGUUGAACGGCCACAUUGGGACUGAGACACGGCCCAGACUCCUACGGGAGGCAGCAGUGGGGAAUAUUGCACAAUGGGGGAAACCCUGAUGCAGCGACGCCGCGUGGAGGAAGAAGGUCUUCGGAUUGUAAACUACCUGUUGUUGAGGAAGAUAAAUGACGGUACUCAACAAGGAAAGUGACGGCUAACUAACGUG
rnacentral:rRNA from 1 species